rnacentral:misc_RNA from 1 species
AGCCCACAAAUGUGGAAUGCUUUGAGCACUGGAUCACUUUUUUUGUGUAACUGAUAGGAAAGAUUCCAGUUAUUCUCAUAUAGCAAACUGUGGAUGUUUUUCUGCCUAAUUUUAUUUUAAAUCUUUUGUGAUAUGUAGAAAGAUUAGACGUCACAGCUCUUUUGGAAGAAUUAUUAUGCAGUGAUUCUCAGCUAUUUCUUGUUAUAUAAGAUAUCUUCUCCUUUGGAUUGUAGGGACUAGUCUAGCUGCGAAGU